rnacentral:lncRNA from 1 species
GCCUGCCUGGGGGCUCCCCCAGUUCUGCCCCCCCCCGGUGCCAUCGCCCCCCCCCCGUGCUGCUGGGGGCCGCGCAUCUCCCCCGGGGUGCGGGGGGGCACUGCCCUCGGCACGUCCCCUGCCCGGGAGGGGGGUCUGGGGACAGCCGCGCUCUCCCACCAUCCAUUUUGGGGAGCGCCAUCCAUUUUGGCAGCUUCCCUCUCCCCAUCCCCCUGGGGGACCGGAGCGGGUGAAAUCCUCCCGUCCCCGAGCGCGGGGCGAGAAGCUCGGUCCCCGGGGUGGGUGGGCGCAGAAGGGGGGGAGCAGCCCUGCCCCGCGUCGCGUCUCCUCCUGGGGCAGCCCUCCACCACCACCCGUGUUCUCAUCGCUUCUUUUGUGAUAAUCUCUGGCUCCUUCCGUCGCGUGCGGCCGUGCGGAGGUGAGGCGGGCUGCGGGCUUUCUGCGGGGCCUCUGUUGUCUCCUACCUUUGUAAAGUCCGUGACCGCUCCGGGGAGCGAGCGUCACGUGAAGCCAGCUCUCGGCGAGACCCUUUGUUUUGCCCGAGGUCUUCCUACAGCUGACUCUGCUCUGGCUUUUUUGCAGAGCCCCGUUCCCGUCCAGGGAAGGCAGCCUCCCCUGGCUUCCUCAGCAUGUGACCCUCUACCGUUCCUAGGGCUCUGGGAUUUGAACGGGUUGCGCGAUCGCCUUCCUUUGCAUUUAUUUCCCCCCCCCCCCCCCCUCCCUGAAGAUUUAGUGUUUACAGUAGGUCUUGUGUAUGGAGGCUGGGGCUGCAAAAAGCUUGCAGUUUUAUAGUCUUCCUAGUGUCUUCUCGUUGCGCCAAAUACCUCCCUAGGCUGCGAGCUUGGCUCGUACCGUAAGUUAAACAGGGCUGGGCCUGUUCGGGGCUUGGAUGGAAACCCGUGUGGCUGCCUCAGCAGGGGGUGCUCUCCCCUCUGCAGCCAAACGAUCCCGGUGCCCAGGUUCCCGUUAGCUCGGGAGGUGCCAGCUUUUCAGAUGAGGCUUGAAAUUUGGAGUCACUCCUUUGACCGCAGUCUGGGAUGCUCUGCCUCCCGAAAUUCCUCCUGACCCAGCGGAGAGCCGGAGCGCUCGACAGCUUCCCCGUUCUCUCCAGGCCAGUAGAAGCCCUCAGCCCUCGUUUUCCAUAAAUUUCCUCUGCAGUAUCAGUUGUCGGCUGAUGGCUUCCUGUCCCUCAGCUGUUGAGCAGCGUUGGGUGCUACGAAACAGCUGCCUCUCCCCGGCGCGGAGGGGACCGAGUUUCAUUGGUGGGAGCAGCAAAUUCUCCGUGCGUGCUGUUUGUAAACAAAUGCCUUGGGAUCCUUUGAAAUGUUGUUCUUGAAGGGAAUUCAAACUUGUCUUGAAUGAAACAUUGCCAUGUGGGUGGGAGAGUGUCUGCAUAACUAUAAACAAAGUUUGGUAAUAAAUAGCAGCGUCUCGAGCUGCGAAGAGGGGUC